UCGUGGAUUGAUUUGUCUGGUUAAUUCCGAUAACGAACGAGACCUUAACGUACUAGUUAGUUGCGCAUGGAUUUUUUUUCAUGUACUCGGCAACUUCUUAGACGGACUGCUGACGUCUAGUCAGAGGAAGUUUGAGGCAAUAACA
rnacentral:rRNA from 1 species